CGGGGCUUAAAGUCUUGUAAUUGGAAUGAUGGGAAUUUAAACCUCUUCCAGAGUAUCAAUUGGAGGGCAAGUCUGGUGCCAGCAGCCGCGGUAAUUCCAGCUCCAAUAGCGUAUAUUAAAAUUGUUGCAGUUAAAAAGCUCGUAGUUGAAUUUCUGCUGCAUUGCUUGUGUCCCUCUGGGGUCUGUGCAUGUGGCUUUUUUCGGACGGAGUUUCUUUGUCUGAAUGUUUACUUUGAGAAAAUUAGAGUGCUCAAAGCAGGCUUUAGCCUUGAAUAGUUUAGCAUGGAAUAAUAAAGUAGGACUUUGGUUCUAUUUUGUUGGUUUUAGGUACCAAAGUAAUGGUUAAUAGGAACAGUUGGGGGCAUUCGUAUUUAACUGUCAGAGGUGAAAUUCUUAGAUUUGUUAAAGACGAACUACUGCGAAAGCAUUUGCCAAGGAUGUUUUCAUUAAUCAAGAAC
rnacentral:rRNA from 1 species